GACGAACGCUGGCGGCGUGCUUAACACAUGCAAGUCGAACGGUAAGGCCCUUCGGGGUACACGAGUGGCGAACGGGUGAGUAACACGUGGGUGAUCUGCCCUGCACUUCGGGAUAAGCCUGGGAAACUGGGUCUAAUACCGGAUAGGACCACUGCCUGCAUGGGGGGUGGUGGAAAGCUUUUGCGGUGUGGGAUGGGCCCGCGGCCUAUCAGCUUGUUGGGGGGGUGAUGGCCUCCCAAGGCGACGACGGGUAGCCGGCCUGAGAGGGUGACCGGCCACACUGGGACUGAGACACGGCCCAGACUCCUACGGGAGGCAGCAGUGGGGAAUAUUGCACAAUGGGCGCAAGCCUGAUGCAGCAACGCCGCGUGAGGGAUGACGGCCUUCGGGUUGUAAACCUCUUUUAGUAGGGAAGAAGCGAAAGUGACGGUACCUGCAGAAAAAGCACCGGCUAACUACGUGCCAGCCGCCGCGGUAA
rnacentral:rRNA from 1 species